rnacentral:lncRNA from 1 species
GGGGUAUUUGAAUGAAAAAAAUACAUUAAGAGGCUUCGUGCUUUGAUGGGAAGCGGGGUGGGGAUGAAAAAGGUUUGUCUGAGCUUUGUCGAAAGGGGGGAAUUAAAAAGGGGGUUGGGGGGGUUGCUGAUAAAUGAGGACAAAAAAAGGGGGGUUGGGAGUGUUUCCAACUGUAAAAGCAACGUGGCACAAGCACAAACAUGUACUCACCUGUGAUUUAAACCAUUUUUCCCCCAAAAGAUUUCUGAUUGUUUUGGGGAAAAACAGCCUUUUUGCCAGGACCCCCCCCCCAGAGUGACACAGCAGGAACAAAACCGGGUGAAAAUGACGCAAAAACCCCACAAUGACAGCGCUGGAAAAAAAAUGAAGACGUCCAAAAGAAAAAAGCCCCCGGGAGGCUUUUAGAAGGAGGAAAAUGGGAAGAUUUCGGAAAGAAGAGCCCGGAGGAGCGCAGGCGGCCGCGGGCCCGGCAGGGUGAGCGGAGAUUUUUGGUGCAGGAUCAGGGGAAAACGGGGCUUUUCACAAGCCGCCAGCCGGAGGGUGUGGAGCCGAAGAGGAAGCAGAGGAGGAAAAAAAAAAAAAAACAGGAAAAAAAUAAAUCAAGAGUGAAGAUAAAAUGUAGACGUGAGGAAGAUUUAAAAAUCGAAGAGAGAAAACGCCAAAUUCUAAUUAAUUUGAUGAAGGAGGCUGACGAGCGGCUCCAGCCCGGCUUCACGCCAACCCCGAAUUAACCCAAUCGCGGCCGUUUUUCCCCAAACCGCCGAGGGCGCGCCUGCUUCACGCAGCCGGAAAAGCCGAGAUUUGAGCCCAAAAAUGGCGAGGGGAGGAGGAGGAGGAGGUUGUAGAGGCCGAGGAGAGGCGCGCGGGUGCGGGAGGCUUCCCAAACCCCCAGCCAGGUGUAGAAGAGCGGCAGCGACGCGCCUGGGCAGGAGGAAAAAAAAGAGGAGGAAAAAAGGACAUUUUGGUUAAAAGCUGCUUGCUGGGAAGGACGCAGGGAGGCGAGAAGGCGGCAGCAAAACGCCAGUGGAGGAGGAAGCAGAAAAUAGGAAAAGAGGAGAAAAUAGAGCAAAGAAAAAGAGCAAAUAAUAGACAAAAAGGAGGAGAAAACAGAAAAAAUAGGAAAAAAAAAAAGAAGAGGGGAAAGAAUAGAAAAAAUGAAGAGGGCAGAAAAUAGAAAAAAGAAAAUAGAAAAAAGAAGAGGGCAGAAAAUAGAAAAAAGAAAAUAGAAAAAAGAAGAGGGCAGAAAAUAGAAAAAAGAAAAUAGAAAAAAGAAGAAUAGAAAAAAGAAAA